AGCAUGGUGUAGUGGUUUGAGUGUUGGACUACAACUCUGGAAACCUGGGUUCAAUUCCCCACUUUGCUA
rnacentral:tRNA from 1 species